rnacentral:rRNA from 1 species
UACGUAGGGUGCAAGCGUUGUCCGGAAUUAUUGGGCGUAAAGAGCUCGUAGGCGGUCCGUCACGUCGGCUGUGAAAACCUGGGGCUCAACCCCGGGCCUGCAGCCGAUACGGGCGGACUAGAAUUCGGUAGGGGAGGACUGGAAUUCCUGGUGUAGCGGUGAAAUGCGCAGAUAUCAGGAGGAACACCGGUGGCGAAGGCGGGUCUCUGGGCCGAUAUUGACGCUGAGGAGCGAAAGCGUGGGGAGCGAACAGG